rnacentral:rRNA from 1 species
UACGUAGGGGGCAAGCGUUAUCCGGAUUUACUGGGUGUAAAGGGAGCGUAGACGGCAUGGCAAGCCAGAUGUGAAAUACCGGGGCUCAACCCCGGGACUGCAUUUGGAACUGUUAAGCUGGAGUGUCGGAGAGGCAGGCGGAAUUCCUAGUGUAGCGGUGAAAUGCGUAGAUAUUAGGAGGAACACCAGUGGCGAAGGCGGCCUGCUGGACCGAAACUGACGUUGAGGCUCGAAAGCGUGGGGAGCAAACAGG